rnacentral:rRNA from 1 species
UACGUAGGUGGCAAGCGUUGUCCGGAUUUACUGGGCGUAAAGAGCGCGCAGGCGGUCGUUCAAGUCGCGUGUGAAAGCCCCCGGCUCAACUGGGGAGGGUCACUCGAUACUGAUCGACUUGAAGGCAGGAGAGGGAAGCGGAAUUCCUGGUGUAGCGGUGAAAUGCGCAGAUAUCAGGAGGAACACCGAUGGCGAAGGCAGGUCUCUGGGCAUUAACUGACGCUGAGGAGCGAAAGCAUGGGGAGCGAACAGG